rnacentral:lncRNA from 10 species
GUUUUAAAAAGAUAACUGGCUUCAGUAUAGAGUAUAGCAUGGUACUUUGAACUCAAGUAAACAAAAGGGAAGAUUUUCUCGUUGAUACUGGAGACUGCACAACAAUGGGGCCACGAAAGAAAAGUGUGAAAACAUGUAUCAUGAAUAAUGAAAUUCCAGAAGAAAUGACAGCAGAUGAAACAAAGGACUAUAUGAAUCAACUUUCACAUGAAGUACUUUGCCAUAUUUUUAGGGGUAAGAAGAGGGACGAGAAGUAGAAAAAAUAAAUGGAUCUGCUAAAUAUUCAACAGGUAUAUGUGGACUUUUCUUUUAGAAUUAGCAGUGUUGUUAAGAGUUAGUGUCAGACAAAACUGUGUUUGCCAUUCCUGACCCUUUCUCCCUCUUACCUAGCCAUGUGACAUUUUGCAGGUUUAAUUCUUCUGAGCUAAUUUCAGCACUUAUAAAAUGGAGUAAUAAUAGUGUAUACUAUGUCAGUGAAGUGCCAGCAGAUAACAGAAAAUACACUUACCUGGAAUUUGAAGAUAAUUUAAUGAAGGGACUAUUUACAGAGAUGUAGAUGGAGUUUAGGGAACAAGUAAGGGAUGAUGAAGAAUUUGUCUAGGGGAUUAGCAGCAGUAGAAAGGCAGCAUUGCCACCUGGAGCCCUCCAGCUGGUGCAUCUCAUUGGCUAAAGUUAACAGCCAGAGAGGGGUAGGGAACACAGCAGGUCAGAGAGGGGGAGAUAAAGGACUGGGAGAGAGUUGUAUGCCAAACAGGAACCAGCUAGUUACCUCUUAAGGUUGUUGUGAAACAAUGAGUAGAAUGUGACGCAAUACAGGUUCAGUAGGUAAAGGUAGCUUUAACUUUUCAAAACAUUUAAUUAAUCUAGGCAUGUGUGGAGGGGUCUUAAGAGAAAAAUAGACCUUUCAGAAUAUAUAACAGAACAAAAGUCAGGAUUAAUUGAAAGUUUCAGGAAAAGAUAAUAAAGAAGAAUGGAAAAGAGGAAGUUGUAAUUCACAUGAGGUGUCUUAAUACUUUACGCAAUACUUUUAUCAGUGUAUGUGACCUUAAAGGUUAAAAAAAAAAAAAAAAUGGGAAAAGAAAUUGUGUACUAUAUGACUAGUAUACAUAUUUGUUGAUGGAGAAGAUAGUAGAGUUUGCAGGAGCAGGAUGGUGGAGUUGAGAGGGAGCAGAAUGUCCCUGCAGGAGUAG